UACGAAGGGGGCUAGCGUUGCUCGGAAUUACUGGGCGUAAAGCGCACGUAGGCGGCUUGUUAAGUCAGGGGUGAAAUCCUGGAGCUCAACUCCAGAACUGCCUUUGAUACUGAAGAUCUUGAGUCCGGGAGAGGUGAGUGGAACUGCGAGUGUAGAGGUGAAAUUCGUAGAUAUUCGCAAGAACACCAGUGGCGAAGGCGGCUCACUGGCCCGGUACUGACGCUGAGGCACGAAAGCGUGGGGAGCAA
rnacentral:rRNA from 1 species